CUCUCCAAGGAUCCCUGUGGUGCCAGGCAGGAAUGGGCUGCUUGGGGACCCAGGGAGCUCCCAAGGUCUUUCCUGCUGCUUCCUCUACCCCUGUAUUUCGUUCGGCUGUCUAGACUGACUCAGCUUCAGGGCCCUCUGUGCAUGCCAUGCUUAAUAAGGUAAUAAAAAGGUAAGAUUAUAAAGAAGGAAGAGGCCUAUCAAGGAAAGAAGGCUCUUUAUUUGCUUUGCUGUCAUGGUAUCCUUCCCAUUCCACUGGCUUCCAGCACAUAUGUGGUAAGUGGCUGAAUGGCAGUAAUAGAAGAAUGAAUGAAGGUUGCAUGAAUUAGGAAAUGAAUUUGCAGUGUCCUCAAUGUUGUUGUAGUCUUGUGAUGGAAAGCAAUCCAUCUUCCUCUCAAGAGGUGUUUAGCUUGUUCUCAAAACCAGAGCUGCUCCUU
rnacentral:lncRNA from 10 species